GGCCUGGUAGCUCAGUUGGUAGAGCGUGCGCUGUGCAAAGCGUAGGCAGCGUCCAUGUGUGCGUUCAAAUCCAACCGAGGUCA
rnacentral:tRNA from 1 species